rnacentral:lncRNA from 1 species
AUCUACCCUGGGCGAUGUGGAUACUAGUACGGUGUGUAUAGACCAUGAGACAUUACUCAAGACUUGGCUUGCCUACAAACAAUACACUAGCCAUAGAUGCCCUCGAUAUCUCUCUUCAUGUUGGGCCAAUAGAAGUGUUUCUGUAACAUGUUUAGGGUCUUCGGUACCCUGUAAUUAGUGUACAUCUCCUUUAAUCCUAAAAAUUUGG